GCCAGCGUGGUGUAGUGGUUUGAGCACUGGACUACAUCUGUGGAGAUCAGGGUUCGAUUCCCUGCUCAGCCA